GGGGAAUAUUGGACAAUGGACCAAAAGUCUGAUCCAGCAAUUCUGUGUGCACGAUGACGUUUUUCGGAAUGUAAAGUGCUUUCAGUUGGGAAGAAAAAAAUGACGGUACCAACAGAAGAAGUGACGGCUAAAUACGUGCCAGCAGCCGCGGUAAUACGUAUGUCACAAGCGUUAUCCGGAUUUAUUGGGCGUAAAGCGCGUCUAGGUGGUUAUGUAAGUCUGAUGUGAAAAUGCAGGGCCCAACUCUGUAUUGCGUUGGAAACUGCAUGACUAGAGUACUGGAGAGGUAAGCGGAACUACAAGUGUAGAGGUGAAAUUCGUAGAUAUUUGUAGGAAUGCCGAUGGGGAAGCCAGCUUACUGGACAGAUACUGACGCUAAAGCGCGAAAGCGUGGGUAGCAAACAGGAUUAGAUACCCUGGUAGUCCACGCCGUAAACGAUGAUUACUAGGUGUUGGGGGUCGAACCUCAGCGCCCAAGCUAACGCGAUAAGUAAUCCGCCCGGGGAGUACGUACGCAAGUAUG
rnacentral:rRNA from 1 species